UACGUAGGUGGCAAGCGUUGUCCGGAUUUACUGGGCGUAAAGAGCGCGCAGGCGGUCGUUCAAGUCGCGUGUGAAAGCCCCCGGCUCAACUGGGGAGGGUCACGCGAUACUGAUCGACUCGAAGGCAGGAGAGGGAAGUGGAAUUCCCGGUGUAGCGGUGAAAUGCGCAGAUAUCAGGAGGAACACCGGUGGCGAAGGCGGAUCUCUGGGCCUGUUCUGACGCUGAGGCGCGAAAGCUAGGGGAGCGAACAGG
rnacentral:rRNA from 1 species